rnacentral:pre_miRNA from 1 species
GCUGUCCCUUGCCCAGUCUAACCAAUGUGCAGACUACUGUACAACGGCAUUGUCCUGAACAGGUAGUCUGAACACUGGGGCGACGGAGCAGGAUCUCC